AGGAAAUCUGGGAGCAGAAGCAGCAGCACACUCCUCUGGAGCUUCUCUGUCCCUCUGUUAGCAGUGCUGUCCCUGACAGGAUUGGUGCCUGUGCCAGGCACUGAGCAAUGUGGGGACACAGACGUGGCUAUGGCAGGCUGGGCAGGGCACUUCCACCACAGCCAGUUCAGCCCGUGUUCAGAGCUGCAGCCUCAAGGGUGCCCCUUGCCUCCCUUUCCCUGUUUUCUCUACCUUUGUCUCUACUGGAUUCCUGGUUCUGCACCUUCUGUUUCUGGUGUAUUUCUACCUGAAGUCUUUUCUCCUUCAAUGCUCUCCCUACUGCCCGCUCUGCUGCCUCAGGAGCAGCCCAGUCCCUGAGGCUCUCUGCAUCCAUCUUCCAGAUCCAGGCCCUGCAGGAUGCAGUGACAGAGAAGGCAGCUCAGCAGGACACUCGAGAGAAGGAGCUGCUGCAGGAGCUGGAAAAGUCCCAAGCAGGAGAACAGAGCUUGAGGGACGCUGUGCAUGUGCUGCAGGUUGAGAUGUCUGAGCUGCGUCUGAGGCUCCAGAGCUCUGAGGAAAGAGCAGAGGCCAUGGCCACACACUGUGAGGCCAUGGAGAUGGAGCUGAGGAUGGCUCAGGCUGACAACAACCAAAUCAAGGCCUGCAAUCAGGAGCUGCAGACACUGUUGGAGGAAACUCAGCAAGCAAUGUGGAGGGCAGAACAGCAGAAGACCUCUCUAGAAACUGCCUUGAAGGAAGAGGCUGUGACUGUUCGUCAGGAGGUGGCAUCACUGCAGAGGAAACUGGAGAGCCAGGAGAAGGAAAGGAAGGAUGUGCUGGUGAGAAUGGCAGAUGCCACAAAGGGCCAUUUCCUAGCUAUGUUUGCACCUUGUGUUACCAGUUCUAAGGAGCACCUUUUUCCAGUUUAACUUUCCUAAUUGCAUUCUUCUGAACAAGGAGGAAAUGAUGUUGUAGCCAUGUCAAAGCCAGUUAGCACUGAGGCUGCUGAUUUUCCUCCAUGCUGGAGUUCUGUGCCCUGGAAGCUUUAGUUCUCCAUGUCCACACUGUCUCCAUUGACAUUGCAUGGUUUGGGCAAUCGUUGCGUCCAAAUCCAUGUUCAGAUUUCUAAAUAUCUGGAGCUGGCAGGAGGGAUGAGAAGACCUAGGUUGCUGUUAUUUGAAAGGUGUUUGGCCUUGGCCGUGUGAGAGCAGGCAGUGGGGAGAGAAGAGAGGAAAGCCAGGUGCUGAUGAAGAUCAGGACGUGUGCCUGCAAGGGGAGAACUCGUCCUGAGUGGCAGCAGGGAAUGACUGAUCUGGCCAUUGGUGCUGCAAGAGAGGGCAGCGGGGCUCUCGGGGGUGCUGCCAUGGAAACUCUACACAGGAGUGUUGGAAAACCACUCCUGUUGCCCCAAGGCCUUGGAAUGAAAUGCUGAGGGUGUUUGCUCUUCCUUCCUGAUGGAGAGCACAUCCUCAUGGCACUGCCUAAAUCCUGCUUAGCAUUGACUUGAAAUCCUGGCUGCAGUUCUGGCAGCUCGUGCCCAAAGGAACACGGGAGUGGAGCUGCCAGAGGUCGGGGACGGGCAGAAAGGAAGCUGGGAUGGGCUGAGCGAGCUGGGAAAGAGGCAGCGUCAAGGGGGGCCCAGCCAAGGUCUGCAGCAGCCCGAGAGGCAGAGAGAGAGGGGGGCAGCACGUGCCUGCCCCUGCAGCAGGAGUCCAGAUCUGGUAUGAGAAGCAAACCAAGGGAGGCAAUGAGUGAGUCUUCUUCUCCCUGUUUUGGCAGCAUGAACGGGAAUUGUAUGAGGGGAAGAUGAGAGAUCUGGAAAAGAAGAUAGAAAUGCAUGCACCUACAAUGAGAAAUCUUAAGGGAAACACUCAACAAUUGGAAGUGGAGAGGGAAGGCAUGCAGGAAGAUUUGGAGCGUGGGGCUGAU
ensembl:lncRNA